CCCCUUCCCCUCUGUUUCCCCAGCAUCCCUUCUCCUCUUUUCCCCAGCAUCCCUUCUCUGUUUCCCCAGCAUCCCUUCUCUGUUUCCCCAGCAUCCCUUCUCUUCUUUUCCCCAGCAUCCCUUCUAUUUCUCUAGUGCCACAUUUCCCUUACGAAGCUUCUCUGGGCCCCAUGGGCAGUAGAGAUCAGUGCCUGCCAGGUAUCUGUGACCUUGCAUGAGCAGGAAGAGUCUCGGGUAACAACAGCACUCUGGCAGAGUAGAGCCCCAGGCACAGGGCCUCUAAAUGAGCUGCACUUUGUAAAAUGUAGCCAUCAUUGCUCAGAGUCCAAACAGACCUGUCGCUCACAUCACGGGCAGUUGCCAGCUUGUGUAGGACUUGAGGACCGAUGUGGAAUUGAAACACCGUUUAUGGCACAGCCAUUGGCACCACCAUAGCAGUCCUCCACAGGUGCACUCGGUGUGGGGACCAAGAAUGAAGAUAUUCCAGAGACACCUGUGUGCUGGCAGACCUAAGAGGCUAUUCUCAGGCUCCCGUCUUUGAUACACCAGUUAAACAGAGAAGUCAUGUGAAAAGCAGAGAAAGGAGGUUUAUUUAGUAUGGCCGAAUUGGAAAGAGGAACAAAGAGAUGGAAUGUGACCAGCUGCUUCACCCUCUUGCCCCACCUCCCCCGCCGUGAUGGACCAAUACUUUCAACCUGCGAGCCCGGCUGAGCUUCCUUCCUUAAGUUACUUUUGUUAGGAAUUUUGUCACAGCAAUGAGAAGAGGAACUAAUGCGACUUGUCACUUGAAUCCACAAGCUAAGCGAUGAAAGCUGGCAUCUCUGCCUUCGUCUUGUGUCUGUCUCCUUCACUUUGGCUCAGAUUUGACUGGAUUCUGCCACCUAUUUGUCAUGCCUCUUCAAGGUUGAAGGCACAGAGAGAAGUCGUUGUUCUUGAGACAGCUUUCCUCUUGAGACAGCUCGGAUUCCAAGAACAGAAGAGUAGAUCCAUCAGCAUCUUUGUGACAAAGGUUCUGAAGCCACCUCUCUGUGGAGAAAGCCUCAGGAUAGAUCCCUAAGACAAGAACAGUGAUCUGGCAUGAAGAGGCAUGAAGAGGCUUCUCCAGGCUCCAGCUCUGGAGAAGAAUCACCCUCAGAGGAUGACAGAGAUGAGCACUCAACUUUGCAGGACUAUGGCUGAGAUACUGAUGGGUAGGACCACACUUUGUCCAGGAUGAUUUAUUACUCAUACUCGUCUCUUGCUCCAGUUCUUUCUAUGUUUAAACCUAAGCUUGUGUCUGUACCCCAAAGAUAAACUUAGAGUCUCUGGGUGCCUUCAUCUGUUCUUCCCAGCUGGCCCCACUGACUGAUUCUCCGCUCUCUGGUUUUCAUCAUUACUUCCUUUGUAAACUAGUGUAUAGAAGUGGCUAAGCCUGGUUUGUUGGAGCGACAUAGGCUAAGAUUCCUGCCCUAAGAUUCCAGUGAAAGCAUGGGACAGACACAGAGGAAGAUACCAUUCUCUGCAUUCACCCAGAGGCCAGAGACUGUGGCCAACUGUCCAGAAGUGACCUGGCCUC